CACGUAGGGUGCGAGCGUUGUCCGGAAUUAUUGGGCGUAAAGAGCUCGUAGGCGGUGUGUCGCGUCGGCCGUGAAAACCUGCAGCUUAACUGUGGGCGUGCGGUCGAUACGGGCAUCACUGGAGUUCGGCAGGGGAGACUGGAAUUCCUGGUGUAGCGGUGAAAUGCGCAGAUAUCUGGAGGAACACCGGUGGCGAAGGCGGCAUCCUGGACCAAUACUGACACUGAAAAGCGAAAGCCAGGGGAGCAAACGGG
rnacentral:rRNA from 1 species